CUCCGUCAGUCCUAGCUGAGAAGCUUAUUACACAUGCGGCUCCUGGGCCCAGCCCUUGAUGCAGUCUGCUUCACAAGUCCGGGAGUUCCCACAGGCCCAUCUGGCCAUUCCAGCCAUCUUCUGCAUCUCCACUCUAGCAGGAAAACAAGAACACGCACAUGGCAGCCUAAGGACCUGAACUGGCUGGAAAGGCCUGUUCAUGGAGUCACGGUCAAGAUUAAGAGAAAAGUGAGGAUUGGGCGUUCACACCAAGAGCUCAAGGAA